rnacentral:rRNA from 1 species
CUUCGGAUUGUAAAAUCCUGUAGAGGGGGACGAAGGGUGCAGCAAUGCAUUUGACGGUACUCCUAAAGUAAGCUGCGGCAAACUCUGUGC